rnacentral:lncRNA from 1 species
AAAUCGUGGCUGCAAUCUCUCUCUCUCUCCUCUCUCGCAAUCACGCUCGCGGACAGAACAGCCGCCCAUCCAUCUCUUAGCCAAGAUCUGCCGCGCCUCUGCGGCUCUGGAAAUUCCGACGAGGCGGUGCCUCAACUCUGAAAUCCGGCACCUCCUCACCUCUGUUCAUCUCAAUCCUCCAUCGAUCUCCCUUCCAAGAUGAUAAAUAUCGAGCCCUAGCUCCUAACUUCAGCGAGGAGCCAAGUCGAGCCCGAGCUAUUUCUUCAAAAUCACCACCGUCGCCCAGUAAUUUCCGGCGAACAGCCAGCUUUUCUCCACCGCCUUAUCUUCUCGAGAACAGACUCAUGCCUCUCCCCUUCUCAUUCCUCAAUUUCAUUCGUGCCCUAAUUUCUACCCCCAACGUCCGUGCCGUCUGUAACUCGCCGCGCCACCUCUGGCGCCUGAAAAUUAGUGAGGCCGGCGUUCGGCGUUGUCCCUCUGUUUCUGGGAGCAAAGCUGAAGCCGCGCCUAUUUCCCUCUUCGCAAGCUAGCGCCGCUGAGGGGACCGGCGGAUCGCCGCCGUCAUCUUCACUGAGCCACCAUCGGUACCUCCCUCUCCCUUCAAUUCGUGUCUCUCUAACUCUCUGAUUUCCCUCUGUUCCUUUCUCGCUUCUAAAUUUUCACAUCAAAUUUCAGUAAGCAAAACUGAGCCCUAGCCCCAUUUCUGGAAUCGCCGCCGUCGCGGCCCUUCUCCGGCGCGAUGGAUCGCCGUUGGACAUGUGAAUCGGCGAGAGUCGCCGUCAGCAUCGGGUCUCCCGACCUUAGGUGUCUUGCUGCCUUCGCCCUUGAGUUCCAGCUAGCGGAUGCUUCCGUCGAUGCACUCUGCCCAUCGGAACAGAACUCGUUCUGCUUGGUGUCGCCCUUAGGCGCAGCCAUGGCGCUCUGCCCCAACCCCCAGAUUGAACGGCAAUAGGCCACCAAGGAUACAACUCAACAGGUUACUAGCAUUUUCUAAGUUCAUUCUAUCUUAUGAAAUCUUGGUUUUCCAUACUCCGAUUAUGCUUAUGCUGGAGAUUACACUAGGCAUGAUUUUGCUAUGUGUCGUAAGAAAUUCUCAUUGUAUUUGCCUUGUGUGAAAGUCAUGGGUUGUUGAUUCAUAUGGAUAAAAGAUUAUACCAUUCGUCUCCUACUAUGCUUUCAAUAAACUGAUCAUUGCUUCAGGAAAUGAGGCGUGUAAACAAAAGAAGAAAAGACAUACUGAUGUAAAAAAUACCUUGAAUGUUUGUUCUUUUGGCUGUCUGUGCUGCUAUGUUUCAAUAAGAAAGAGCUGAAAAUGAAAUUCCAUAUUUUGUUUAACAAUUGCAGACUGAAACUCAAGGAGAAAAUGGUGAAAGAGUUGGCCAUUCUUACCUUUCUGAGUCUGCCAGAAGCUGAAUCAAAAUUCUUUCCCUUUGAGAGUUGGUACACGAAGGAAGAUAUGAAGGAGAAUUUGUUGACUGAAAUAGAAGAAAGGGUUGUUGGCUAAUAGUAUAAAGUGUGGAGUUGGUGCUGAUACUUGAGUGUUUGACAAGAUGAAGCAUGCGUAGGUUAUAGAUGAAUGACCCUUAGCAGCAUGGCUUUGAGCUGAAAAGGGGCUGUAGAGUUGAAGAAAAUGAGUUGAUGUUUGUACUUGCAUACUUUCUAUUGCUGAUUUUGGGCUUUGCGUGUAUGUAGCAGAUAGAGUAGGAAUUGAUAUAAAGUGUAGGAAAGUUGUGAGGUGACAAUUAAAAUCCCUCCGUCUUGUAUCAUUUGCGCGUUUGUGAUACUAAUUCCGAGUUUUGCUAAUUGAUCGCGUGUUCUCGUAAAAUAAAUCUAAAUUAAAUCCGUAGAUUUAAUUUGAUUCACAAGCCAAAAUAAAACCACUACUUAAGUAAUCAUAGUAAAUAAAAAAAAAACAAUACUUUUAUUAAAAAGAAUAAAUAACAUGACUUUGUUAAGUCAGUUAUAAAUUAAAAAUAUAAAUUAUUGAUUGGCUCAAUAAUUCAUAAUGAGGUUUUUCUCAUGCGAAGUUAGUAUGUACAAUCGAAUCAAAAACUCUGUAUCUCGCAUAAACAUCUAAUUCAAAAUCUUGAGUUGAAUUAUCUAAUGAUAAUCACUGGAUUAUCAUAGCUAAAGAUGCAAUGAUAUAAUUAUUGUAAUAGUGGUCUUUACUUAAUAAAUAAAAAUAGCGGGUUGCUACAUACUACCCCUCUUAACAAAAAUUUCGUCCCGAAAUUUGCAUACUCUCAGAUUCUUAGGCUAGCCAAUUCGUUUUCUUAGCUUCUACACUUCUCAAUUACAAAUGGCCUCAGGUUUCUUGACCUCAGUCGGUUUACUCGUUCAACCAAACGUAGGUGAACUCCGUCUUAAAUGUUCUUCGACUCUCCUAGUUGGGGGUGGAGGGGGUGGGUUAGGUUCUUGGUCGGUUUGUGGUUCUCCUGAUAUCGCAUUAUGGUUUUCACGAUUGUUAAUGCUUCUCUUGGCGGAUGUCUGAUUGCCAUAAAAUGCAUCAAAUGGGUUUACUCUAACAUAAUCUGAUACAACCUCAAAGGGCUGCCUUACGAUAAUCUUUAAAUGAUUCAUUAUAUACCCCAUGCUUGUGCAUAAAUCAUAAAAGUUCUCAUCUUACUUAGAUACAUAGCAUACCAAGCCAACUCAAAUAAGCAUCUUCUGAUUGAAAAGGUUGAUGAGAACUCACUAUAACAAUUGGGUUGUAAAGGUUCUAAUCCUGCAUGACAACUUGUAUAAAGGGGGUUGCUACUAAUUAGCCAGAAGGUUAAAAUAACAUGUCCAACGAAUCGAAACAAAAAGAUCAAAUGGUCGAAACUAACCGGCCCUUGAGACAUGAAGGUUUGAAAACCCAGAAUAACGACUAUUGAUAUAUAUAUUUACGUGGGCUAUCAGGCCCAACACAAUUCCUUCUCUUUCACUUGGCAACACAAUCCCGUACCAGGAAAUUCUUAACUCGGUAUGACUAUAAGUAAGCUCCAAGCUUAGGGCAUCACUUAUAUCCUUAUGCUUUCUAAGUUCCAUUGUUCAAUCAUAUUAUUAUGAUCAAAAUCCUUCAUAGCAUAACUAGGGCGUCAUUAUGAAAUUCUGAAAAAAUCAUAUCUUUCGAAUAUGAUAACUUCUGUGUCAACAACGUGAAAAUAAUGCCAACAACCUUAGAGUUAAUACUUAAAAGGCAUUUCAUUCCUAACUCGGUCAUAGCGUCAUAUCUCAAUUAACAUCAUCGGGGUUGUAAGCUUCAACGGUUCUUAGCAUCUCAAACCCAUAAGUAGCGUAAAAAUUUUCUAACCCUAUAAACAUCAUCAUAUCUCCACAUCUUGUUGCAUCUCCAUCCUUGGCGUUCUCUUGUAUCAUCUAUCGUUGUCUUGCUUUUCUUUCUCCUUUGUUCUUCACUUACAACUAUAGUAAAAUAUAGAUGGACUUCUUUCUAUGUUUGCUUCUAUGUUCUGUCAUAGAGGUGAUCAUAUAGCUUAGUCGCUCUAAGUUCUUAGGGAUUCAUAUCAUAGUCAUAGUUAAUCGUGUUUGUGUCAGUCAUUCCAUAGAAUAAUAGUGUAAAUUAACCAUCGAUAGUUUCACGUUCUCAUAUUGCUUUCAUAUCGCGUUAUUUCCCACUAUUCAUUCAUGUAAAAAGAUAUUCAAGAAUUCAAACAUCAAUUUAAAACAUGAAAGCGCUUACCAUUCUGCUUCGUUGAGAGUGAUGCGAUGAAGUGCUGAGCUUUGUCGACUAAACUCUAGAUAUUUUAGUGACUCAGUCUAGGCUUAACUUAAAGAAACUCUUAGGCUCAGAGCAAACGAACUGCUCUGAUACCAUUCUGUCACGACCGGCCUUAACUAAAGAUAACUAAUCCGGGAAAUCGUGACUAGGGAAGGGAUUUAAGAAGCGGGGUUAGAAAGGGCACAUUUGACUCAUUAAACUCGAUUAUAGACAUUAUAUCUAGCAUUAAUUUUGAAAUAAAAUUUAAGACAUUGAAGAUUGACGCAUAUAUUAAAAAAAAAAUCUCGAUGAACCCGAGUAAGCUUAAUAUUUCUUUGAAGAGUAAUUGCAUAUAUAGACUUGCUAAAACAUAAUCAGUGUUUGCAGCGGAAGCAACUGAGAUACAUGUAUGCAGACAAUAUCCUUUCUGAGCCUAUUAGUUCGACAAAAGCUCCACUCAGCAACACUUCAUCGUCAUCACAGCUCAACCUGCACAUUAAAACAUAUGCAGGGCUAAGUACAAAAGUACUUAGUGGGCUUGCCAAAACUAUAAUAUAAGCUUAACAUUUUAUAUACAAACCAAGCAUCUAAGAAAAAGCUUCUUUCAAAUCCUUCUUAAUAAAUUUCAUAAUCCAUAAUAGCGUGUGCAUUCUUCAUCAUAAUCAUUCAAAGCAUCGUGUCGUGAGGAAGGCCUUCCUCAACAACACAGGCAUCGCGCCGUGAGGGAGGCCUCCCUCAGCGGACACGGCAUCGUACUGUUGAGGGAGGCCUCCCCCAACAGACGCUAGCAUCGUCCGUUGAGGGAGGCCUCCCUCAACGGACGUUUGACCGGCCAACCCUCUCAUUGACUCACGGUCGCGUUGUUACUAAAUCUGCAGAAGCUAUCCGCUCAGGAUUCAACUCUUACAUCAUCACUGGCAUAAUAAAAUAAAGCAUUCAGUAACAAAGCAUAAUAAUACACAGGCGUACAAAGCGUAAGACUAAAGCGUAGAACAUUAGCGUAAAUAAUAUAGCGUAAUACUUGGUAACAAGCGUAAAUUAAAAGCGUAAAAUUUACGAAACAAAGCAUAACCGAUUAAGCAUAAAAGGUAAUUAAUUUAAGAAUAAAAUAAUCAUUUAAGCAUAAUAGGGCAUAACUCAAUUAAGCGUAAUAAAGUAUAUUUUUUUUUAAGCAUAAACUUUAUAGUUCUAUAGCAUUUUAUUUUGCUAAGAAAUGCCCACCUGAUAGCAAAGAUUUGUAAGGUGUUGACUCCUUGAUAGCUCUCUCGCGCUUGACCUUAUUCGAAUAUAAAUAAAGCAUUGGCCAGAAAUCUCAUAAUUGAGAAUGGUAAUUAACUAUGCAUGACUCAUUUUCGCUAUAAAAUCCAAACUAUGGAUUAAGCUCGUCUUAUGAAUGGAUAUUAAUCUUAAUUAAUCCACUCAUCUUGGUUGCUAACCCUUACUAAUUAAUAAUCCCUUCUAAUUAAUCCAUAAUUAGAAAACUAAAUAAUUAAUAGAUUAAUCUAGACUAGUCUUUAAUCGGCUAAUAAAUAAUAAGGCAGCCUAAGAUUAAUUGGGAGCAACAUAAGGCAACCCAAUAAAAGAAAUUGGACCCAAUCAAAUAACCAUCGCAAUUCAUUCUCUUAAAAUAUGCCUGGGCUCCCAUUAAGAAAAGGAAUCAGCCUAUCUGAUUAACUCUGGCCCAGCUGCUUAGCCUCUAAUAAAAUCGGCCCAAGAAAUAGCCCAAACUAAUUUCCCUUUAUCCUCCAAAUCGUGGCUGCAAUUCUCUCUCUCUCCUCUCUCGCAAUCACGCUCGCGGCAAACGCCGCGCCUUCCUCUUAGCAAUAUCUGCCGCACUGUUAGUCCAGAGGCUCAUCUGAAAUCCGGCACCCCUCACCUUGCAUCUCAAUCCUCAUGACCCUUCAAGAUGAUAAAUACGACCUACCCAACUCAGCGAGGAGCCAAGUCGAGCCCGAGCUAUUCUUCAAAAUCACCCCGUCGCCCAGUAACUUUCCGGCGAACGCAGCUUUUCUCCACCGCCUUAUCUUCUCGAAACAGACUCACCUCUCCCCUUACUCUAUUCCUCAAUUUCAUUCGUGCCCUAAUUUCUCCCCAACGUCCGUGCCGUCUGUAACUCGCCGCGCCACCUCUGGCGCCUGAAAAUUAGUGAGGCCGGCGUUCGACGUUGUCCCUCUGUUUCUGGGAGCAAAGCUGAAGCGCGCCUAUUUCCCUCUUCGCAAGCUAGCGCUGAGGGGACCGGCGGAUCGCCGCCGUCAACUUCACUGAGCCACCAUCGGUACCUCAAAUUUCAGUAAGCAAAACUGAGCCCUAGCCCCAUUUCUGGAAUCGCCGCCGUCGCGGCCCUUCUCCGGCGCGAUGGAUCGCCGUUGGACAUGUGAAUCGGCGAGAGUCGCCGUCAGCAUCGGGUCUCCCGACCUUAGGUGUCUUGCUGCCUUCGCCCAUGAGUUCCAGCUAGCGGAUGCUUCCGUCGAUGCACUCUGCCCAUCGGAACAGAACUCGUUCUGCUUGGUGUCGCCCUUAGGCGCAGCCAUGGCGCUCUGCCCCAAAACCCCCAGAUUGAACGGCAACAGGCCACCAAGGAUAAAACUCAACAGGUUACUAGCAUUUUCUAAGUUCAUUCUAUCUUAUGAAAUCUUGGUUUUCCAUACUCCGAUUAUGCUUAUGCUGGAGAUUACACUAGGCAUGAUUUUGCUAUGUGUCGUAAGAAAUUCUCAUUGUAUUUGCCUUGUGUGAAAGUCAUGGGUUGUUGAUUCUAUAUGGAUAAAAGAUUAUACCAUUCGUCUCCUACUAUGCUUUUCAAAUAAACUGAUCAUAUGCUUGAUGGGAAAUGAGGCGUGUAACAAAGAAGAAAGCAUACUGAUGUAAAAAUACCUUGAAUGUUUGUUCUUUUGGCUGUCUGUGCUGCUAUGUUCAAUAAGAAAGAGCUGAAAUGAAUUCCAUAUUUUGUUUAACAAUUGCAGACUGAACUCAAGAAGAAAUGGUGAAAGAGUUGGCCAUUCUUACCUUUCUGAGUCUGCCAGAAGCUGAAUCAAAAUUCUUUCCCUUUGAGAGUUGGUACACGAAGGAAGAUAUGAAGGAGAAUUUGUUGAUUGAAAUUAUAGAAGAAAGGGUUGUUGGCUAAUAGUAUAAAGUGUGGAGUUGGUGCUGAUUACAUAAUGGGGAUAGUUGGUAGUGAAGUGGAAGAGUAGGUG